rnacentral:rRNA from 1 species
UCUGUUGUUGGUGAAGAAGGACAGGNUAGNAACUGAUUUGUUUGACGGUAAUCAACCAGAAAGUCACGGCUAACUACGUGCCAGCAGCCGCGGUAAUACGUAGGUGGCAAGCGUUGUCCGGAUUUAUUGGGCGUAAAGCGAACGCAGGCGGGNNUACAGCUGUGAAAGCCCUCAGCUUAACUGGNGAACUGCAGCUGAAACUAUNUUCUUGAGUGCAGAAGAGGAGAGUGGAACUCCAUGUGUAGCGGUGGAAUGCGUAGAUUAUGGAAGAACACCGUGGCGAAGGCGGCUCUCUGGUCUGUAACUGACGCUGAGGUUCGAAAGCNUGGGUAGCGAACAGGAUUAGAUACCCUGGUAGUCCAUGCCGUAAACGAUGAGUGCUANGUGUUGGGAGGNUUCCGNCUCUNANUGCUGCANCNNACNCAUUAAGCACUCCGCCUGGGGAGUNCGACCGCAAGGUUAAAACUCAAAGNAAUUGACGGGGGCCCGCACAAGCGGNGGAGCAUGUNGUUUAUUCGCNACGCGANNAACCUUANCNGGUCUGACAU